UUAGUCCUUUUCUCCUUCUUAGCUUGAUGAUCUCUUGUUCUUAAAUUAUAGUGUUCAUUAUGGUGUUUCAAGUAUUGAUGAAUCUGCUAAUCUAUUAUAUGGUUAUCAAGUAUUGAUGUGAUAUUCUUUGAGGAUUUAUUUUUCUGUACUUAUAAUUAGCUUCAAGAUUGUUGAAAGUUAUGGUACGAAGGGUUCUUGCUGAUUUUAGUCACAAGCUGCGAAUUGUUUGACCCAUUUAGUGUAUUUUUAUUUUUGCUUCAAUAUUAUUAUGGGGUAGGCUGUAAAUUUAAGUUUGGACAAAUGUAUACUGAGGAAUUGAAGGGGGGGCAGCAUAUGUGUGG
rnacentral:lncRNA from 1 species